rnacentral:lncRNA from 1 species
GCUGAGUUUAUCUUUGAAUAUUGUCUUUUUAUAUCUGAUACCAAUACCAUCUGAAUUAAGUUCCUAAUCAUUGCUUAGGUACUUCCCCAAAGCCCUCUUUCAGUACAGAAACUUCACAACUUAACUAUUAAGGAGGUAUUACUUUCUUCCAUUACAUUCAAAACUUAGGCUUCUUAUCACCUAUUACCCUGGGAAUGACUGGUGUCUUUGUGACACACUAGUGCUGUCUUUCUCUUUUUCCCUUUGAACACUUUGCAUUCUAAUCUAUUUGAAAAUUCAAAUAUGGCCAGGCACGGUGGCAUGCAACUGUAAUCUCAGCACUUUGGGAGGCUAAGGUAGGUGGAUCUUUUGAGGCCAGGAGUUUGAGACCAGUCUGGCCAACAUGGUGAAAUCCCAUUUCUACUAAAAUACAAAAAAUUUGCUGGGCGUGGUGGCAUACACAUGUAGUCCCAGCUACUGGGGAGGCUGAGGCACAAGAAUCGCUUGAACCUGGGAGGCGAAGGUUGCAGUGAGCUGAGAUUGCACCGCUGUACUCCAGCCUGGGUGACAGAGUGAGACUCUGUCUAAAGAAAUAGAAGUAAAUAAAUAAAAUCAAAUAUUCUGUUGUUGUAUCAAAUUAGAAAUGGAUUGUCACUUCAUCUUCAUCCUUGUGUAAUUGGUCAGAAUAGUGGAUAUGUCCAGCACUUGAUACAUAAACUCUUGCUAUAGUGUUUCUGAGAGGUGUUAGAGUUUAAACUUUAUACAUCUAAUAUUAAAUAAGUGAAAUUUUAAAAAUACGUGAAAUAACUGUAUUUUCUCUUCUGUAUCCAAGGCACACAUUUCCAAUUGACCACAGCAUUUUUUUUCUAUUGGACUCAAAUGUCAACUGAUCAGAGCUAAUGUGAGAUGAAACCCACCUGCCUCCCACAUGUCAUGGACACACUGUCUGCCAUGAGAAUAUCAUGUCCUGAUUACUUUCAACUGGAAAAGGCUCUUUUGUUUUCCAGAGAGCAAGUGGUCCAGAAUUAACAUUAGCAUAAGACACAACAGAUAAAGAAGAACAGAGUAAGAGCCUGGAGAGACUAUAUAAUUCAUAAAAGCAUCAUGAAAGAUCAAUUGUUCUUUGUUCCUACUCUUUGUGUAACAUGAAGGCAGAAGGCCCUUCCAUGCAUUUUCCUUUCCUAUGGAUUUUAUUGAGAACUCUUUCUUUCUAGUGUGGCCAAGUAAAAGCUGAUGUUAGGUGAGGAUUUUUUUUUUUUUUACCUUCACUUAAAUUCCAGUGUGAAAUGAAUCAUUUCCAGGUGAGCUCAGAUCUGAUCAAGAAAAUAAAUCUGGGUCCAUGAUAGCUCUCUUAUCUGCAGUCUUUGAUAUGUAUAAUAAAAUAAGACCCAAACUACUGCU